rnacentral:rRNA from 1 species
CAGGGGUGCAAGCGUUAAUCGGAAUUACUGGGCGUAAAGCGCGCGUAGGUGGUUUGUUAAGUUGGAUGUGAAAUCCCCGGGCUCAACCUGGGAACUGCAUUCAAAACUGACUGACUAGAGUAUGGUAGAGGGUGGUGGAAUUUCCUGUGUAGCGGUGAAAUGCGUAGAUAUAGGAAGGAACACCAGUGGCGAAGGCGACCACCUGGACUAAUACUGACACUGAGGUGCGAAAGCGUGGGGAGCAAACAGGAUU